CUUAACACAUGACGAAGUCGGAGGGCAGCGAGAAGGAAGUCUGUCUUUCUUGGUCGGCGACCGGCGCGACGGGUGAGUAACGCGUAUCCAACUUUCCCUAUAGUAGGGGAUAGCCCGUAGAAAUGCGGAUUAAUACCCUAUGUUGUAUUUUGAGGACAUCUGACGAAUACCAAAGGUUCACCGCUAUAGGAUGGGGAUGCGUCUGAUUAGGUAGUCGGCGGGGUAACGGCCCACCGAGCCAACGAUCAGUAGGGGUUCUGAGAGGAAGGUCCCCCACAUUGGAACUGAGACACGGUCCAAACUCCUACGGGAGGCAGCAGUGAGGAAUAUUGGUCAAUGGGCGAGAGCCUGAACCAGCCAAGUAGCGUGCAGGAUGACGGCCCUAUGGGUUGUAAACUGCUUUUAUGCGGGGAUAAAGUGAGGGACGUGUCCCUUAUUGUAGGUACCGCAUGAAUAAGGACCGGCUAAUUCCGUGCCAGCCGCAGC
rnacentral:rRNA from 1 species